rnacentral:rRNA from 1 species
AUACGGAAGAUGCGAGCGUUAUCCGGAUUUAUUGGGUUUAAAGGGAGCGUAGGCGGAAGGUUAAGUCUGCGGUAAAAUGGCCGUGCUCAACGCGGUCCUGCCGUGGAUACUGGUCUUCUUGAAUGUGCACAAGGAAGGUGGAAUUCGUGGUGUAGCGGUGAAAUGCUUAGAUAUCACGAAGAACUCCGAUUGCGAAGGCAUCCUUCUGGGGCAUGAUUGACGCUGAGGCUCGAAAGCUCGGGUAUCAAACAGGAUUAGAUACCCUGGUAGUCCGCGCCGUAAACGAUGAAUACCCGUCGUUGGCGAUACACGGUCAGCGACCAAGCGAAAGCAUUAAGUAUUCCACCUGGGGAGUACGCCGGCAACGGUGAAACUCAAAGGAAUCGACGGGG